rnacentral:lncRNA from 1 species
UGACGAAAUAUCUAUGGAAAGGGGCCUCUAAAGAAGUAGUGCAGAGAAUAAAAACUGCUGGGAAAGAUAUGCAAUCACUCAAAAAAAAUGGGUGUGUUCCUCUGGAAUGCAAAGUGACUCACAAAUGGAAUGCCUGAUUUACCCUCUGAAAGGGGUCCGCACCUGCCUAACCAUGACCACUAGUCUGGAGAAGCACUGGCUUCAGCAGCAGAAGGCAGAAUCAUUGAUAGCAAGAAUCUUUUGAGCUCCUCAGAGCCAUGCAGCUCCUCACCCUUACCCUCUGCCACUGCCAUCAGCAAUGGGGAUUUCUCAGUCAUCUAUGAGAGAUUAUAGCUGUUUGGAUCAACACAGCCCCCUCCUCUUCAUCAUGAAAACUACCACUGCAUUAUGUAGUCUGGGACACUCAAGCUCCUAUCCUUGCUCGUAGAAGAUCCAACUAUUUGCCCCACAAGCAAACACGUUUUUGGCUUGCUCUUCUUCCUGCCUGGAACGUUCACCUCCCUGAUUCUCACAUUGCUGGCCAAUUUCAUCCUUCAGGUCUCAGCUCAAAUACAGUAUCUUUAAGGAUGCCGGAGAUACAGGAGUGCUGGGAAGGCAAGACCAUGGUCCCUUUAAAUGAUACGGGAGUGCUGGGUAGAGGAAGGGUGUGGUCCCUGGCUAGGGCUCCACCCCCACCGACCUAGAUGAGGACCUGGCACUCCUGCCUGCACGCCCAAAUGUUGUAUUUCCCAAGACCAUCCUGGCCCACCACGGCCCCAUCCUGUGACUAUAAAAACCUGAGACUCUAGCAAGGCAAAGACCGAAACGACUGGACGUGUAGAGGAGCGGAUCAGCAGAAGAAGAUAGAGGCAGGGGGAUGUCAAAUGCAGCAUAUCAGCGUAGGAACACACAGGCCGUUGAAGCGAGAGAGGAGCACAUCAAUGAAAGAAGGCACAAGCAUCUGGAUGGCGAGAGGAUGUUGAGGGGAGCAUGGCAGCUGAAGAGCACACCGACAGGACACACGCCGGCACUGUCCCGGUGGGAGUGGGAUGAGGCGGAGUUUGGUGGGGGCAGUGGGAGGAGAGCCCUGGCCGUGGAGUGCCCCAACUCCAGGGGAAAACCAUCUCCCUUCUGGCUCCCCCAUCUGCUGAGAGCUACUUCCACUCAAUAAAAGCUUGCACUCAUUCUCCAAGCCCACAUGUGAUCCUAUUCUUUCGGUACACAAAGGCGAGAAACCCCGGGAUACAGAAAGCCCUCUGUCCUUGAGAUGAGGUAGAGGGUCUAAUUGAGCUGGUUAACACAAGCCUAUAGAUGGCACACUAAGAGAGCAUCCUGUAACACACGCCCACUGGGGCUUCAGCUGUAAACAUUCACCCCUAGACACUGUUGUAGGGUGGGAGCCCCACAGCCUGCCGUCUGUAUGCUCCUCUAGAGGUCUGAGCAGUGGGGCACUGGAGAGCCACACCCACAUCGCAUGCCCUGCCGGGGGACUACUGAACCUUUCCCGUUUCACUAGCAUAUACAAUAUAACCCUCUGGCCUAUCGCUUUAACACAUUUCCUCAGAGCGUUCAACAUCAUCUGUUAAAUACUUGUAUUAUAAUAUUUUAUCUCUUUAUUUCUUUUGCUUUAUAAAAUAAAUUGCUUAUCUUUUCGGUAAUCCCCUGUAUCCCUGAUGCUUCGAUCAAUGCCUAACAUAUAUUGAAUUAAUAUUAAUUGAUGAAAUAAAUGGAUAAACACACUCCUUCCUGAGUAUGAAUAUAUCUUAACUGUAUCACAUAACUUUUUUCACAUUCUUCCUUGCCUCAACGGUUUGCAUAUAUUUCACGUAGGUCACUUAUCACUAUCGGGAUUUAUGUAAUUUAAAAAUCUCCUCCAUUAAAUUGCAAAUUUCUUGGCAACUGGAUUUUCUUAUAUUCAUUUGUUAAAAUUUGCAUGCCUUUAAGACAUACAUAUACUAACUGCUCAAAUAAUAUUAUUUAAAUGAAUGGAUGUAAAUUAUACUAAGGGCAAGUUUAAGAAUUAUUAUUUCCUUUUUACCCAGAAGCUUAAAAACAUUUCAUUUUCUAAAAUUCUAUGAGAAGGCAUAUAUAUGAUUAUAGCACUGGCC